rnacentral:siRNA from 1 species
AUGCUCUUACAUAUCUAAUGGCGU